AAAGUGUGGGAAAUUCAAGGAAACAAGUGACAAAAGGUGGUGAGUCCUCCCGAUAAAGGUAAAGAAAUUGCACCCGAGGACUAAUAGUCUGAGUACUUCAAAAAUCCCCACUCUAGACAUUGCUGGGUAGUAAAAUAUUAGCCCUGUCAUGCUGUCAAAAUUUUAU